rnacentral:rRNA from 1 species
UACGUAGGGUGCAAGCGUUGUCCGGAAUUAUUGGGCGUAAAGAGCUCGUAGGCGGUUUGUUGCGUCGGCUGUGAAGUCCCGAGGCUCAACCUCGGGUCUGCAGUCGAUACGAGCAAACUAGAGUGUUGCAGGGGAGACUGGAAUUCCUGGUGUAGCGGUGAAAUGCGCAGAUAUCAGGAGGAACACCGGUGGCGAAGGCGGGUCUCUGGGCAACAACUGACGCUGAGGAGCGAAAGCUAGGGGAGCAAACGGG